GAGUAAAAUUAUAAAAUAAAUACAAAUACUCAAUUAGAAUCUUUUCUCUCUGCUAUUCAUUGUGUCAACUUCCAACUCUCAACUUGAAUCCUAAAUAUCAACUGAUUAAUCAAAAUUGAGUACAUAGAUCGGCUUACAAACUUAAAAAUUAUUCUUAAUUUUAGAAAAUUAAACAAUAUUCUCUAUCAAGUUAUUCUAAUGUUAACAAUCCAUCCAACCCAUAGUCAACAAGCUAUACUUGACGAGUGGAUGGAUAAUGACAAUAAAGAUAGGUGCUAUAUAUGAGUAUAUG
rnacentral:lncRNA from 1 species